CCCUUAGAUGUUCUGGGCCGCACGCGCGCUACACUGAUGCGUUCAACAAGUUUCCUUGGCCGAGAGGCCUGGGCAAUCUUCUUAAUAUGUAUCGUGAUAGGGAUAGAUUAUUGCAAUUAUUAAUCUUGAACGAAGAAUUCCUAGUAAACGCAGAUCAUCAAUCUGCAUUGAUUACGUCCCUGCCCUUUGUACACACCGCCCGUCGCACCUACCGAUUGGAUGUUCCGGUGAAGCCUCGGGAUGAGGACUGGUGCCUUUAUUGGCAUGAGUUGUUCAGAACUUGUCUAAACUUUAUCAUCUAGAGGAAGGUGAAGUCGUAACA
rnacentral:rRNA from 1 species